rnacentral:rRNA from 1 species
AACGAACGCUGGCGGCAUGCCUAACACAUGCAAGUCGAACGAGACCUUCGGGUCUAGUGGCGCACGGGUGCGUAACGCGUGGGAACCUGCCCUUAGGUUCGGAAUAACUCCCCGAAAGGGGUGCUAAUACCGGAUAAUGUCUUCGGACCAAAGAUUUAUCGCCUUUGGAUGGGCCCGCGUUGGCUUAGCUAGUUGGUAGGGUAAAAGCCUACCAAGGCGACGAUCCAUAGCUGGUCUGAGAGGAUGAUCAGCCACACUGGGACUGAGACACGGCCCAGACUCCUACGGGAGGCAGCAGUGGGGAAUAUUGGACAAUGGGCGAAAGCCUGAUCCAGCAAUGCCGCGUGAGUGAUGAAGGCCUUAGGGUUGUACAGCUCUUUUACCCGGGAUGAUAAUGACGGUACCGGGAGAAUAAGCUCCGGCUAACUACGUG